CCGCGGUAAUACCGGCAGCACAAGUGAUGGCCGCUCUUAUUGGGCCUAAAGCGUCCGUAGCUGGCCAGGCAAGUCCAUCGGGAAAUCUCCCCGCCUAACGGGGAGGCGUCCGGUGGAAACUGCCUGGCUUGGGACCGGAAGAUCCAGAGGGUACGUCCGGGGUAGGAGUGAAAUCCCGUAAUCCUGGACGGACCGCCGGUGGCGAAAGCGCUCUGGAAAGACGGAUCCGACGGUGAGGGACGAAAGCUCGGGUCACGAACCGGAUUAGAUACCCGGGUAGUCCGAGCUGUAAACGAUGUCUGCUAGGUGUGCCACAGGCUACGAGCCUGUGGUGUGCCGCAGGGAAGCCGUGAAGCAGACCGCCUGGGAAGUACGUCCGCAAGGAUGAAACUUAAAGGAAUUGGCGGGGGAGCACUACAACCGGAGGAGCCUGCGGUUUAAUUGGACUCAACGCCGGACAUCUCACCAGCAUCGACAGUAGGAGUGACGGUCAGUGUGAUGAGCUUACCAGACCUACUGAGAGGAGGUGCAUGGCCGCCGUCAGCUCGUACCGUGAGGCGUCCUGUUAAGUCAGGCAACGAGCGAGACCCGCACUCCUAAUUGCCAGCAACACCCUUGUGGUGGUUGGGUACAUUAGGAGGACUGCCAGUGCCAAACUGGAGGAAGGAACGGGCAACGGUAGGUCAGUAUGCCCCGAAUGUGCUGGGCAACACGCGGGCUACAAUGGUCGAGACAGUGGGACGCAACCCCGAAAGGGGGCGCUAAUCUCCGAAACUCGAUCGUAGUUCGGAUUGCGGACUGAAACUCGUCCGCAUGAAGCUGGAUUCGGUAGUAAUCGCCGUUCAGAAGACGGCGGUGAAUACGUCCCUGCUCCUUGCACACACCGCCCGUCAAAGCACCCGAGUGAGGUCCGGAUGAGGCCCCUUCUGGGGGUCGAAUC
rnacentral:rRNA from 1 species